CGGGGCCAACGCAGACGCCCCGCCGCACCGCUGGCCGUUCGCGCCAUCCAAGCUCUGC
rnacentral:ncRNA from 1 species